CUGGAGCGGCCCCUGGUGCAGAUCUUGGUGGGAGUAGCGAGUAUUCAACUGGGGGUGAGAGUUGAAGACUGAAGUGGAGGAGGGUUCCGUGGGAACAGGGGUUGGCCACGGGUGAGUCGGUCCUGAGGGGGGUGACGUAGGUUGGUAGGGGUAGAUUGCGUGGCGUGAGCCGUGCGCCUCCGAAAGGGAACACGCUGAAGAUUGCGUGACCUGUCCGGCUGUGUUUGCAUGAAUAAUGCGAAAUUAGUGUGGCGACACGGGCAAACCUGCUGGUCCAACCCCACGGCCAGGGAGAGGUUUCUUUUCUGCUCGACCGGGCGCGGCCAUCGGAAUCGUUUCAGACGGCGAGGAUGGGCGGGCUGUGAUUUGGAGUGGGCAAAGCCGGGACUGGAUUUUCGGGCCUGGUCUGGCGUGGUGGGAUGGAGCGUCAAGGGCGGGUGGACGGGGAUGACAGGUGGGCAGGCCGUACCGAGACCGCAGCAGGUCUCCAAGGUGCAGAGCCUCUAGUCGGUAGAACAAUGUAGGUAAGGGAAGUCGGCAAAAUGGAUCCGUAAGUUAGCGAUAAGGAUUGGCUCUGUGGGGGAACGCGAGACUCUUCAGUCUUUUGGAGUGCGGGUGGGUCUGGUGUGCUGGGCAACUGGCGCGGCAGGGUCGGCCGUGCGACUGGGGCUGGGGAAAUUGUGUUACUACCCCAGCACAGAACUGGUACGGACAAGGGGAAUCCGACUGUCUAAUUAAAACAUAGCAUUGCGAGGGUUCUUGGGGAUGGUGACGCAAUGUGAUUUCUGCCCAG
rnacentral:rRNA from 1 species